rnacentral:rRNA from 1 species
GUAGACUGGGAUAACACCUCGAAAGGGGUGCUAAUACCGGAUAAUGUCAAAUGAUGGCAUCAUCAAUUGAAGAAAGGAGAAAUCCGCUAUAGGAUGAGUCCGCGUCCCAUUAGCUAGUUGGCGGGGUAAAAGCCCACCAAGGCGACGAUGGGUAGCCGGCCUGAGAGGGUGAACGGCCACACUGGAACUGAGACACGGUCCAGACUCCUACGGGAGGCAGCAGUGGGGAAUAUUGUGCAAUGGGGGAAACCCUGACACAGCGACGCCGCGUGAGCGAAGAAGGCCUUCGGGUCGUAAAGCUCAAUAGUAUGGGAAGAUAAUGACGGUACCAUACGAAAGCCCCGGCUAACUACGUGCCAGCAGCCGCGGUAAUACGUAGGGGGCGAGCGUUGUCCGGAAUUACUGGGCGUAAAGAGCACGUAGGCGGCUAUAAAAGUCAGAUGUGAAAAACCUGGGCUCAACCGAGGGUAUGCAUCUGAAACUAAAUAGCUUGAGUCAAGGAGAGGAGAGCG